rnacentral:rRNA from 1 species
UACGAAGGGUGCAAGCGUUACUCGGAAUUACUGGGCGUAAAGCGUGCGUAGGUGGUUUUUUAAGUCCGUUGUGAAAGCCCUGGGCUCAACCUGGGAAUGGCAGUGGAUACUGGAAAGCUAGAGUGCGGUAGAGGGUAGUGGAAUUCCCGGUGUAGCAGUGAAAUGCGUAGAGAUCGGGAGGAACACCAGUGGCGAAGGCGGCUACCUGGACCGAUACUGACGCUGAGGAGCGAAAGCCAGGGGAGCAAACGGG